AGCAGCCGCGGUAAUUCCAGCUCCAAUAGCGUAUAUUAAAGUUGUUGCAGUUAAAAGCUCGUAGUUGAAUUUCGGGAUCAAUUUAUUGGUCGUGCAAUAGUACGUACUGGUAUUAUUGGUUCCUACCUUCUGAUGAACCAUGAUGUCAUUAAUUUGGUGUUAUGGGGAAUCAGGACUGUUACUUUGAAAAAUUAGAGUGUUUAAAGCAGGCUCACGCUUGAAUACAUUAGCAUGGAAUAAUGAAAUAGGACGUUUGAUUCUAUUUUGUUGGUUUCUAGGAUCGACGUAAUGAUUAAUAGGGAUAGUUGGGGGCAUUAGAAUUCAAUUGUCAGAGGUGAAAUUCUUGGAUUUAUUGAAGACUAACUACUGCGAAAGCAUUUGCCAAGGAUGUUUUCAUUAAUCAAGAACGAAAGUUAGGGAUCGAAGACGAUCAGAUACCGUCGUAGUCUUAACCAUAAACUAUGCC
rnacentral:misc_RNA from 1 species